UGCAGUCGAGCGAACAGACGAGGAGCUUGCUCCUCUGACGUUAGCGGCGGACGGGUGAGUAACACGUGGAUAACCUACCUAUAAGACUGGGAUAACUUCGGGAAACCGGAGCUAAUACCGGAUAAUAUAUUGAACCGCAUGGUUCAAUAGUGAAAGACGGUUUUGCUGUCACUUAUAGAUGGAUCCGCGCCGCAUUAGCUAGUUGGUAAGGUAACGGCUUACCAAGGCAACGAUGCGUAGCCGACCUGAGAGGGUGAUCGGCCACACUGGAACUGAGACACGGUCCAGACUCCUACGGGAGGCAGCAGUAGGGAAUCUUCCGCAAUGGGCGAAAGCCUGACGGAGCAACGCCGCGUGAGUGAUGAAGGUCUUCGGAUCGUAAAACUCUGUUAUUAGGGAAGAACAAAUGUGUAAGUAACUAUGCACGUCUUGACGGUACCUAAUCAGAAAGCCACGGCUAACUACGUGCCAGCAGCCGCGGUAAUACGUAGGUGGCAAGCGUUAUCCGGAAUUAUUGGGCGUAAAGCGCGCGUAGGCGGUUUUUUAAGUCUGAUGUGAAAGCCCACGGCUCAACCGUGGAGGGUCAUUGGAAACUGGAAAAACUUGAGUGCAGAAGAGGAAAGUGGAAUUCCAUGUGUAGCGGUGAAAUGCGCAGAGAUAUGGAGGAACACCAGUGGCGAAGGCGACUUUCUGGUCUGUAACUGACGCUGAUGUGCGAAAAGCGUGGGGAUCAAACAGGAUUAGAUACCCUGGUAGUCCACGCCGUAAACGAUGAGUGCUAAGUGUUAGGGGGUUUCCGCCCCUUAGUGCUGCAGCUAACGCAUUAAGCACUCCGCCUGGGGAGUACGACCGCAAGGUUGAAACUCAAAGGAAUUGACGGGGACCCGCACAAGCGGUGGAGCAUGUGGUUUAAUUCGAAGCAACGCGAAGAACCUUACCAAAUCUUGACAUCCUCUGACCCCUCUAGAGAUAGAGUUUUCCCCUUCGGGGGACAGAGUGACAGGUGGUGCAUGGUUGUCGUCAGCUCGUGUCGUGAGAUGUUGGGUUAAGUCCCGCAACGAGCGCAACCCUUAAGCUUAGUUGCCAUCAUUAAGUUGGGCACUCUAAGUUGACUGCCGGUGACAAACCGGAGGAAGGUGGGGAUGACGUCAAAUCAUCAUGCCCCUUAUGAUUUGGGCUACACACGUGCUACAAUGGACAAUACAAAGGGCAGCGAAACCGCGAGGUCAAGCAAAUCCCAUAAAGUUGUUCUCAGUUCGGAUUGUAGUCUGCAACUCGACUAUAUGAAGCUGGAAUCGCUAGUAAUCGUAGAUCAGCAG
rnacentral:rRNA from 1 species